AUUGAACGCUGGCGGCAUGCUUUACACAUGCAAGUCGAACGGUAACAGGCCUUCGGGUGCUGACGAGUGGCGAACGGGUGAGUAAUGCAUCGGAACGUGCCCAGAGGUGGGGGAUAACGCAGCGAAAGCUGUGCUAAUACCGCAUGUGAUCUGAGGAUGAAAGCGGGGGACCAGGCAGCAAUGUUUGGCCUCGCGCCUUUGGAGCGGCCGAUGUCAGAUUAGGUAGUUGGUGGGGUAAAGGCCUACCAAGCCGACGAUCUGUAGCUGGUCUGAGAGGACGACCAGCCACACUGUGACUGAGACACGGCCCAGACUCCUACGGGAGACAGCAGUGGGAAAUUUUGGACAAUGGGCACAAACCUAAUCCAGCAAGGCCGCGUGCGGGAAGAAGUCCUUCGGGUUGUAAACCGCUUUUGUACGGAAAGAAAAGGCUCUGGCUAAUACCUGGGGCUGAUGACGGUACCGUAAGAAGAAGCACCGGCUAACUACGU
rnacentral:rRNA from 1 species